GUCUCUUUGUUUUUUAUAUAUAAGGAGUCGGGCCUGCUCGGUGAUAUUAUAUUUAACAGCUGCAGCGUAAUAGUUGUACUAAGGUAGCAUAAUAAUUUGCCUUAUAAAUUAAGGCUAGAAUGAAUGGUUUGACGAAAGUUGAUCUGUCUCUUAUUUAUUUAUUAGAAAUUAAUUUUUAUAGUGAAAAAGCUUUAAUUGAUUAAAGGGACGAGAAGACCCUAUUGAGCUUUUAUCAAAUGUGUAUAAAAUUAUUUUAAAAUUAUAUAAGAAAUGAUUUUGAUUGGGGUGAUCGAGGAAUAAGAUAAAGUAGUUAAUAACUUCCUUAAAAAUAAUUAAAAUAAAAUUGAUAAAUUAAUUAACCAAUAUUUUGCUUACGUGAAUAAGUUACCAUAGGGAUAACAGCGUAAUUUUUUUAGAGAGUUCUUAUUGAUAAAAAAGAUUGCGACCUCGAUGUUGGAUUAAAAUAACCUUAAGGUGAAGAAGCUUUAAUAGGUGAAUCUGUUCGAUUUUUAAAAUUUU
rnacentral:rRNA from 2 species